rnacentral:rRNA from 1 species
GACAGAGGGUGCGAACGUUGUUCGGAAUUACUGGGCGUAAAGGGCGCGUAGGCGGCUUGGUCAGUCCCGUGUGAAAUCCCUCGGCUCAACUGAGGAACUGCACGGGAAACUGCCUGGCUUGAGUUCGGGAGAGGGAAGCGGAAUUCCGGGUGUAGCGGUGAAAUGCGUAGAUAUCCGGAGGAACACCGGUGGCGAAGGCGGCUUCCUGGACCGACACUGACGCUGAGGCGCGAAAGCUAGGGGAGCAAACGGG